CUGUAACUAUUGGAGCACUGGGAUAUGUAACACAUUGCCUAAAUACCAAUCUUCAGGAAUUAGGCUUCUCAAAGCCCGAAACGAGAAAGCUGAUUCGAUGACUACAGAUCUAAGGCAUCACUGGGACUUUAAAAAAGAAAACUAGAAAGG